CACCGGCGGCCCGAGUGGUAAUCACUUUUAUUGGGUCUAAAGGGUCCGUGGCCGGUUUGAUCAGUUCUUCGGGAAAUCUGACAGCUUAACUGUUAGGCUUCGGGGGAAUACUGUCAGACUUGGGACCGGGAGAGGUAAGAGGUACUACAGGGGUAGGAGUGAAAUCUUGUAAUCCCUGUGGGACCACCAGUGGCGAAGGCGUCUUACCAGAACGGGUCCGACGGUGAGGGACGAAAGCUGGGGGCACGAACCGGAUUAGAUACCCGGGUAGUCCCAGCCGUAAACGAUGUUCGCUAGGUGUCAGGGACGGUGCGACCGUUUCUGGUGCCGCAGGGAAGCCGUGAAGCGAACCACCUGGGAAGUACGGCCGCAAGGCUGAAACUUAAAGGAAUUGGCGGGGGAGCACUACAACGGGUGGAGCCUGCGGUUU
rnacentral:rRNA from 1 species